rnacentral:rRNA from 1 species
CCGUAGGUGAACCUGCGGAAGGAUCAUUACAAGUGAGGCUACCGAACGUUGGAAACAGCGGUUAGGAGCUUACACCCACCCGUGUUUACAUACUAUUGUUGCUUUGGCGGGCCGUGGCCUCCACUGCGGGCUCUGCUCGUGUGUGCCCGCCAGAGGACCAAACUCUGAAUGUUAGUGAUGUCUGAGUACUAUCUAAUAGUUAAAACUUUCAACAACGGAUCUCUUGGUUCUGGCAUCGAUGAAGAACGCAGCGAAAUGCGAUAAGUAAUGUGAAUUGCAGAAUUCAGUGAAUCAUCGAAUCUUUGAACGCACAUUGCGCCCUGUGGUAUUCCGCAGGGCAUGCCUGUUCGAGCGUCAUUUAACCACUCACGCCUAGCGUGGUAUUGGGGCACGCGGUCUCGCGGCCCUCAAAAUUAGUGGCGGCGCCGGUGGGCUCUAAGCGUAGUACAUACUCCCGCUAUAGAGUUCCCCCGGUGGCUCGCCAGAACCCCCAAUUUUUUACAGGUUGACCUCGGAUCAGGUAGGGAUACCCGCUGAACUUAAGCAUAUCAAUAAGCGGAGGA